GAUGAACGCUAGCUACAGGCUUAACACAUGCAAGUCGAGGGGCAGCACAGAGAUAGCUUGCUACCUUGGGUGGCGACCGGCGCACGGGUGAGUAACGCGUAUCCAACCUGCCCAUUACUCUGGGAUAGCCUUGCGAAAGUAAGAUUAAUACCGGAUGUUGUUAAAAACCCGCAUGAGUUUUUAACCAAAGAUUUAUUGGUAAUGGAUGGGGAUGCGUGACAUUAGGUAGUUGGUGAGGUAACGGCUCACCAAGCCUACGAUGUCUAGGGGUUCUGAGAGGAAGGUCCCCCACACUGGAACUGAGACACGGUCCAGACUCCUACGGGAGGCAGCAGUGAGGAAUAUUGGUCAAUGGACGAGAGUCUGAACCAGCCAAGUAGCGUGCAGGAUGACGGCCCUCUGGGUUGUAAACUUCUUUUGUUUGGGAAUAAAUGAUACUACGUGUAGUAUUUUGCAUGUACCUUACGAAUAAGCAUCGGCUAAUUCCGUGCCAGCCGCCGCCGUAAUAC
rnacentral:rRNA from 1 species